rnacentral:rRNA from 1 species
GACGAACGCUGGCGGCGUGCUUAACACAUGCAAGUCGAACGGAAAGGCCCUGCUUUUGUGGGGUGCUCGAGUGGCGAACGGGUGAGUAACACGUGAGUAACCUGCCCUUGACUUUGGGAUAACUUCAGGAAACUGGGGCUAAUACCGGAUAGGAGCUCCUGCUGCAUGGGGGGGGUUGGAAAGUUUCGGCGGUUGGGGAUGGACUCGCGGCUUAUCAGCUUGAUGGUGGGGUAGUGGCUUACCAAGGCUUUGACGGGUAGCCCGCCUGAGAGGGUGACCGGCCACAUUGGGACUGAGAUACGGACCAGUAGCCUACGGGAGGCAGCAGUGGGGAAUAUUGCACAAUGGGCGGAAGCGUGAUGCAGCAACGCCGCGUGCGGGAUGACGGCCUUCGGGUUGUAAACCGCUUUCGCCUGUGACGAAGCGUGAGUGACGGUAAUGGGUCAAGAAGCACCGGCUAACUACGUG